UGGAUGUGCAAGGACUGGAGGUGCAAAAUCUGGAAGUACAAGGGCUGGGAGUGCAAGGGCUGGAGGUGUGAGGUCUGGAGGUGCAAGGACUGGAUGUACAAGGGCUGGAGGUACAAGGGCUGGAUGUGCAAGGGCUGGAUGUGCAAGGGCUGGAUGUACAAGGGCUGGAGGUGCAAGGGCUGGAGGUGCAAGGGCUGGAGGUGCAAAGUCUGGAAGUACAAGUGCUGGAGGUGCAAAAUGUGGAAGUACAAGGGCUGGAGGUGCAAGGGCUGGAAGUGUGAGAUCUGGAGGUGCGAGGGCUGGAGUGCAAGGGCUGGAGGUGCAAGGGCUGGAGGUGCAAAAUCUGGUAGUACAAGGGCUGGAAGUACAAGGGCUGGAGAUGUGAGGGCUGGAGGUGCAAAGUCUGAAGGUGUGAGAUCUGGAGGUGCAAGGGCUGGAGGUGCAAGGACUUUAGGUGCAAAAUCUGGAAGUGCAAGGACUGGAGAUGUGCGGGCUGGAGGUGUGAGCAGGAGGAGGGAGCCACCCUGGAGGUGGGCGCUGCUGCCUGGGCGCAGGGGGAGGCCGCUGCCACCCCCGUGGCGGUGCCUGGGCGAGCGGCUCUGCGCUGGGUGUGCGGGAGGGGCUCCAUCGCCCGCGGUGCUGCUGCUGCUUGCCAAGUUAUGUAAAGUGCCUGGCACCUCCCUGGCACGCAGCAGGCACGCAGCACCUCCGAGCUGGCCGGCCCUGAAGGUCCCCAGGGACCGUGGAGGCGCUGCGCAAACGCACCAAGAGCGGCCACCUCUGCGCCCCCUGCCCUGCCCCUCGGGGGGCUCCCCAAAUCCACACUCCUGGCCCUGGCACAGAUGGGGGCAGUGCAGGGAACCCAGGUGCCCGCUGCGGUGCUGCAGCUGCCCCAGGGCACCCGUGGGGGCUGUCCCCUGUGCCCCCGUGCCAGCACGGCCGUGCCCACGGCGCGCACCGGCACGGGGACCCGCACCCCGUCCCCACGUCCCGCCGAGCGGCCGCUUUUCUCCCCAACAUGGUAAUGAACUCGGCGGAUUAUCAGCUCCCAGAUUUAAUAGAGGCACAGCCACACUCCAGCAGACUUUAAAACAGUCAUUAUUUCAUCAGCAGCCCCAUUAAACUGUCACGGGCUUUGCUGUGCGCUCUCUCCGAUUUUUUUUUCGUUCUCUCCCUCCCGCCUUUUCUCCAUCACCAGUUUUUUUUUUUUUCACCCCAGCAGCACAGAGCACGGGGACGGCCUCGUUGGGACCCUGCUGAAGCCAAGGGGUGGGGAACGAUGUCGGACUGCUCCCCCCCGUGCCCACCCUCAGUUUACCCAUCGGUAAAAUGGGCUCGGCGUGGGCUUCCCAUUUGGGGCUGCUCCAUGGGGAGGAAGAAACUUUCUGCAGAUGCAAACUCCAGCCCCAUUUUCUGGGGUCCUCACCCCCCUGACCCCACGGAGAGGGGCAGCGGGGUGGUGGUGGGAAGGGGAGCGGGGCGUAAAGAGACGGAGCAGGGAGAGCCCCCCCCUUUUUUUUCAACCUUUCCUCAAUCCACGCGCUCCCCACCCCCUUCCCACGCUCGCCUCCUCCCUCUCCAUCAGCCGCCUACACGCCGCUCCUGGCGUAAUGGGGAAAAUAAAGGAAAUUUCAAAAAACUAAAUGCGUGCCGA
rnacentral:lncRNA from 1 species